rnacentral:rRNA from 1 species
GAUGAACGCUGGCGGCGUGCCUAACACAUGCAAGUCGAGCGAACAGAUGAGGAGCUUGCUCCCCUGACGUUAGCGGCGGACGGGUGAGUAACAUGUGGAUAACCUACCUAUAAGACUGGGAUAACUUCGGGAAACCGGAGCUAAUACCGGAUAAUAUAUUGAACCGCAUGGUUCAAUAGUUAAAGACGGUUUUGCUGUCACUUAUAGAUGGAUCCGCGCCGCAUUAGCUAGUUGGUAAGGUAACGGCUUACCAAGGCAACGACGCGUAGCCGACCUGAGAGGGACGACGGCCACACGGGCACUGAGACACGGCCCAGACUCCUACGGGAGGCAGCAGUCGGGAAUCUUCCGCAAUGGGGGAGUGCCUGACGGAGCAACGCCGCGUGAAUGAUGAAGGUCUUCGGCUCGUAAAGCUCUGUAAGUCGGGAAGAACAAAUGUGUAAUUAACUAUGCACGUCUUGACGGUACCUGAUCAGAAAGCCCCGGCUAACUACGUG